rnacentral:rRNA from 1 species
UACGUAGGUGGCAAGCGUUUGUCCGGAAUUACUGGGUGUAAAGCGCGUGUAGGCGGCAGACCAAGUCGGCGGCGAAAGCGCCCGGCUCAACUGGGCGAGGUCCGUGGAAACUGGUCAGCUGGAGGACGGUAGAGGCGAGUGGAAUUCCCGGUGUAGUGGUGAAAUGCGUAGAUAUCUGGAGGAACACCGGUGGCGAAGGCGGCAUCCUGGACCGGCAUUGACGCUGAGGCGCGAAAGCCAGGGGAGCAAAGCGGGG